GCAAUCCACCCACUUCAGCUGUCCAAAGUGCUGGGAUUACAGGCAUGAGCCACUGUGCCUGGCUAGAACAGUGAACUUUUAUCAAGCAUUUACUAGGUACCAGGCAUCAUGCUAAACACUUUUCAGGUAAUUAUUGUGGUUAAUUCUCACAAGAAAACUAUGAGUUGGGUACUAAUAUUAUUUCCACUUACUGAUGAGGAAACUGAAGCACGGAGAGGUGCUGUAAUUAGUCCAAGCUUGCUGUGGUUUUAGCGCGUUGCUUCAGUGACUCUCUGCACACCAAGCCUGGGGCCACUUCUCUGGAUGAAGUUUCCAUGGCUUCCCUGAGGCCUCAGCAGGACUUGGCCCAUGGUUGUUUGAGUUCUGUCUUUGAAUCCGUGGAACCUUGGCCCACAUCCAGGGUGGCAACUCCAUACCUCAGGCUGGAUGAAGAGAACGUGGUGUGCAGGACAGGGGGCACUCUUCAGAAUUUUGCCCACAAACAUCCAAGGUUUGGGUAGAAUAAAUGUAGCUAAAUGAGUGGAGAAUGAAGGACAGGCAUAAAGGAAAACUCUAAGUCCAGAUACAAACUGGAGGCUGCAAGAAUAAGGGCAGUGGAAAGACCAUGGGCUUGAGAGCCAAGAUAACCCAAAUUUGAAUGCCAGUGCUUUGCUAGUGAGAUGAUCUUAACAAGUUACUUACUCAUUCUGAGUCUGUUUUCCUUUCUGAUAAAAGAGGGAUAAUAACCUACACAGAGGACCUGGAACUAUCUCAGUGCUUUCUAAAAUAUGUUAGGAAAGAGGAAACAAGUGUCAAGGACAAGAAUGUGUUUUAAGAAAAAAGAUAAAAGGAGGAUGAGUUUGCAGAGAAAACCUCCGUGCUGAAAGAAUUCCUGGCAAUUGAUUGCUUCACCCACGCCUAACAACUCUAGGUCAAAGGGGCAGAAUGUUUGACUUAAAGGUAAGAUGACCAGCCAGGACCUAUUACCAAUUUAACACUGUUUUUAGACCCACAUCAGAAAAAGCCAACAUGUAACUACAUUCUUAAGGUGGCAUAAUAUCAUAAGGACAGAAAUUAGAAAGUAAAGUACUUGAUUGCCUAAUUUUUUUUUUUACUAUUAUUUUUUAAACAGAGAUGGGGUCUUGCCAGGUCUUGGCCAGGCUGGUCUUGAACUCCCGGACUCAAGCAACUCUCCUGACUUGGCCUCCCAAAGUGUUGGAAUUACAGGCAUGAGCCACUGCAGUAGCCCUGAUUGUUUUAAAUAGAAGAAGGUCUUUAGACAAACUCAACCAAUUGUCAACCAGAAAAUGUUGGAAGUUCCCUCCUACCCCGCCCGCCUUUGAGUUGUCCGGCCUUUCUGGACCUAACCAAUGUAUUUCUUAAAUAUAUUUGAUUGAUGUCUCAUGGCUCUUUAAAUGUAUAAAAGCAAGUUGUGCCCCAACCCCGGCCACCUUGGGCACAUGUUCUCAGGACCUCCUGAGGACUGUGUCCACAGGCCAUGGUCACUUAUAUUUGGCUCAGAAUAAAUCUUUUAAAAUA